GGAGUGGAUAACUCAAGUGACAGAGUGCAUGCUUAGCAUGCAUGAGGUCCUGGGUUCAAUUCCCAGUAACUCCU
rfam:Camelus ferus unplaced genomic scaffold scaffold2533, whole genome shotgun sequence.